rnacentral:rRNA from 1 species
UACGUAGGGGGCAAGCGUUGUCCGGAAUUAUUGGGCGUAAAGAGCUCGUAGGCGGUCUGUCGCGUCUGCUGUGAAAACUCAGGGCUUAACCCUGAGCUUGCAGUGGGUACGGGCAGACUAGAGUGCGGUAGGGGAGACUGGAAUUCCUGGUGUAGCGGUGAAAUGCGCAGAUAUCAGGAGGAACACCGGUGGCGAAGGCGGGUCUCUGGGCCGUAACUGACGCUGAGGAGCGAAAGCAUGGGGAGCGAACAGG